rnacentral:rRNA from 1 species
UGGGGAAUUUUGCACAAUGGGGGAAACCCUGAUGCAGCGACGCCGCGUGAUUUAGAAGGCCUUCGGGUUGUAAAAAUCUUUUCUAUGGGAAGAAAAUGACAGUACCAUAGGAAUAAGGACCGGCUAAUUACGUGCCAGCAGCCGCGGUAAUACGUAAGGUCCGAGCGUUGUCCGGAAUCAUUGGGCGUAAAGGGUACGUAGGCGGGUAAGCAAGUUAGAAGUGAAAUCCUAUAGCUCAACUAUAGUAAGCCUUUAAAACUGCUCAUCUUGAGGUAUGGAAGGGAAAGUGGAAUUCCUAGUGUAGCGGUGAAAUGCGCAGAUAUUAGGAGGAAUACCGGUGGCGAAGGCGACUUUCUGGCCAUAACCUGACGCUGAGGUACGAAAGCGUGGGUAGCAAACAGG